GGCCUUAGCCCAUUAGUUCCUGACUGGGACCAGAAGAGUGAAGAAGGGAGUUCCUCUUUGGCCCAAGGAGCUUGACAAGAAGAGGUUAUGGUUGACUGAACUCCCGCUAAGAUUGCAGUGGGAGAAGAACCUGAGGAUGUUGGCCCUGAGAUGGGGCUGGAGAUAAAAGGGCCUAAUAGCAACAGUUGAUUGGAUUUGGGCAGUAUGUGGCUGUUGUGUAUAGGGUUCCUGGGUUGGAACCUACUGGCCACAGACUAGAUUUUGUGGCUUGACUGGAGGGCCAAACCACUGAAGAUCUGCCAAGAUCAUUCAGCAGCCUGCAAGGGUCAGUAAAGGCAAGCAAAAGGACUGUGAUACCUCAUCCAGUUGUUUGGAAGCUUCAAGAGUGCCUGGAGGCCGCAAUCAGUAUCAGAGCCCCAGGUCCCAAGUCAGGUGCUUGAGAGAUAUGGAAAACUAAUGUCCAUGUUAUGAGAGACGGGAGAACAAAUGUAAUGAAACUAAACAUACCUCCAAUUAUUUGUAGUCUGUCUUUGAGACUUAAGGGGUUGAUCAAGAGUUAGGAGUAAACAGGGGAAACUUAAAACGAAUAAUUGGUAAAAAUCAGUAACUUUGAAGAACAAGCCAUCUUGUACAAAGUUCUUUAGCAAGAAAGUUCUAAAUAUCCUUUAAGGUGAGUGAGUGUGUGUGUGUGAAGACACUUAACACACUUCACUGACUCAU